rnacentral:lncRNA from 1 species
AACAACCAAUAACCAAUUGCCAAAAUAAUUCAAGCACCAUGCAAGAAAAAAAAAAGAGAAAAUUUUAAAAAUUUUAUAGAUUUUUGAACAGAUUUUGAAGCAAACAUAAAAUAAAAAAAUAAAACACAUAAAUUAAAAUUUCUAUGUACGCCACAUAAAAUAAAAAAACAAAACACAUAAAUUAAAAUUUCUAUGUACACCCCCUACACUUAAGUUACAUAUUGUCCUCAAUGUGUCCCAACUAAAGAUAAAGUUUCAGAAGACUUACCUUAUCCAAUGUAAGAACAGAAAAAUGGUGGAGUAGUCCUCAAACUUCGUUGAAGCUCUCACUGUUGUGUAGCUCUUGAUGCAUAGACCUACAAAGAAAAACAAAACAAACACAC